UGUGGCGGUUUUUACCUCCGUGUUGUAGCUAACGCGUUAAGCACUCCGCCUGGGGACUACGGUCGCAAGACUAAAACUCAAAGGAAUUGACGGGGACCCGCACAAGCCGUGGAGCAUGUGGUUUAAUUCGAUGCAACGCGAAAAACCUUACCACUCCUUGACAUGAAGAUAAGAUCCUCCUUAACAGGAGGGCGCAGUUAGGCUGGGUCUUGCACAGGUGCUGCAUGGCUGUCGUCAGCUCGUGUCGUGAGAUGUUGGGUUAAGUCCCGCAACGAGCGUAACCCUCACCCUUAGUUGCCAGCGGGUAUUGCCGGGGACUUUAAGGGAACUGCCAGUGCCAAGCUGGAGGAAGGUGGGGAUGAUGUCAAGUCAGCAUGGCCCUUAUGGGGUGGGCU
rnacentral:rRNA from 1 species